GAAAAAAGAAUUUCGGGGCUUCGGCUCGACUCUCCCACCCUUUGUGAACGUACCUCUGUUGCUUUGGCGGCUCCGGCCGCCAAAGGACCUCCAAACUCCAGUCAGUAAACGCAGACGUCUGAUAAACAAGUUAAUAAACUAAAACUUUCAACAACGGAUCUCUUGGUUCUGGCAUCGAUGAAGAACGCAGCGAAAUGCGAUAAGUAAUGUGAAUUGCAGAAUUCAGUGAAUCAUCGAAUCUUUGAACGCACAUUGCGCCCCUUGGUAUUCCGGGGGGCAUGCCUGUUCGAGCGUCAUUACAACCCUCAAGCUCUGCUUGGAAUUGGGCACCGUCCUCACUGCGGACGCGCCUCAAAGACCUCGGCGGUGGCUGUUCAGCCCUCAAGCGUAGUAGAAUACACCUCGCUUUGGAGUGGUUGGCGUCGCCCGCCGGACGAACCUUCUGAACUUUUCUCAAGGUUGACCUCGGAUCAGGUAGGGAUACCCGCUGAACUUAAGCAUAUCAAUAGGCCGGAGGAAGAUCAUUACCGAGUUUUCGGGCUUCGGCUCGACUCUCCCACCCAUUGUGAACGUACCUCUGUUGCUUUGGCGGCUCCGGCCGCCAAAGGACCUCCAAACUCCUUCUUAAACGCAAACUUCUGAUAAACAAGUUAAUAAACUAAAAUUUUCACAAGGGAUCUCUGGGUUCUGGCUUGAUGAAGAACGCAGCGAAAUGCGAUAAGUAAUGUGAAAUGCGAAAUCAUGGAAAUAUGAAUCUUUGACGCCCUUUUGCCCUUGGGAAUUCGGGGGGCGGGCCGUUUAAGGGUUUU
rnacentral:rRNA from 1 species